CGGGAUGUAGCGCAGCCUGGUAGCGCAUCAGUCUGGGGGACUGGGGGUCGCAAGUUCGAAUCUUGUCAUCCCGACCA
rnacentral:tRNA from 1 species